rnacentral:pre_miRNA from 1 species
AGGUUCUUGUUGGAGAAGCAGGGUACGUGCAAAAUGCACACCGGUUGGUCGAGCUAAUUAACAAGCUCUGACGACCAUGGUGAUCGAAUGCACGUGCUCCCCUUCUCCACCAUGGCC